CCUAGUCCCAUCUCAAAGAAUUAAAAUGAUUCCUGCUGCUGUAAAUGAACACAAACUGCUGCUGUGUUAAUAAAUGGUUCAAACACAGGAUUUUAUUUGCAUGACACACCCACUAGAGAUAUAAAAAAGUUUCACAUCGAAAUAACCAUGCAGAGAAAAAGCUUGCUGUCAAGUCAUUAACUGCUAUUUUUGUAGUAUUUGCUAACAUGACCUUACACUCCUUCUGCUAAUUGCAAAUAAAUACAUUUAGCAUUUAUACAUUUUUAAUGCGUUAUUUUUUUUAAAUCCUCUAUGAAUCCAAAAAGUGAGUAUAAUUGUAGAAUUUAUAAAAUUUGAUCCCAACAAAAAGACAUUAUCUGUCAGGUGUUUAAAUGAAUCUGGGUCAUGAUUAGAGCUUUUUUAGAAAAAAAAAGUAAACAUUAGAUAGAAUGGUGUAUUUAUAGACAAUUUAUUGUCAAGAACUUUUACUGAAAUAUAGUUUUUAUUGCAGUCGUUUUUGGCGUGGCUGAUGUUGUUCAUGUGACUGUCUCGCCUGGACAGGCUUUAACUAGUGGCUGUAAAGUGUCUGGAUUCAGCUUAACUGAUAGUAGAUAUUGUCACUGGGGUGCUGCUUCCUGCUGAGGGAAUAUUUACAGCUCACCAGGAUGUGCUUCUGUACAGCAAGUUUUUAUUGGUGUCUUUAUUGAUGGAGAACUGGCCCUGUAGAGACUGAGCGAACACGGUGCCAGUGCCACUAUCAAUGCGCCCGAUCCACUCCAGUCCUUGUCCUGGUUUCUGACGGAUCCAGUGCAACCAGGCAAGCGAGAGCCCAGACACAGUGCAGGACAGAGUGACCGACUCUCCUGGUUUCUUCACCACAGAAGCAGACGAGGCUGCUGAUAUCUAAGUAUAGCACAUUGCUGCUCGUGUCUCUGGAGAUGCUGAACCGACUUUUAAAGGAAGCUCCAUUAUUUAUGCUUCCACCACCCCAUAUGAUCCCGAUCCACUCCAUGCUUUUUCCUGGAGGUUGCCUGAUCCAGCCUGUACCAUAGUCAGUCAGGGCAUAACCAGAAAUCUGACAGGACAACUUCACUGUUUCUCCAGGAGGUUUAACCUGAUCAGGAGACGAGGUCAGACUGAUGCAACACACAUCUGCAAAGAGGAGAGUGGAUUCAACACAGACUGAAAUAUGUAGCGUAUUAAAAGUAUUAAAAGUUGAGUACGGUGUGAGACAUGUGUUUACUCACAGGGCACAAAGGAUAUCAGAAGAAGAAAAGACCAGCUCAUGAUUCCUCUGCUGUACACAACCAAACACAGAGACUGCAGUGUCCUUGCAGUGUCUUUAUAUCUGCUUGUGAAUGGAGGGGACGAGGAGCUGAGACAAACGCUGGCCUUAACUGCAGUUGAACUCCUGCAGCGCCGCGCUCAAUGUGCACCGUUGUCGCCCUCUGCUGGCCGCCGGCGAUGUAGCGCGACCUAUUAAGUUAUAGGAACAUAACCUCCAAAAACCAAACUCAGCAAUGCUUCACUG